UUAUCUUUCUUCUCAGCUCGAGUGACAGCUUACUGAUAUACCUUUUAUUUUCAGAUAUCUCUCUCUAUUGCUGUCUGUUCUUUGUUUCUUUCUUUAGGGUUAUGAGUUUGAACUCAGAUUCUUGACUUCAAUUGUUGGGUAAAACAACAUGCAAUUUCAGAAAUGAAAAGAGAAGAAGAAGACGAACUCAAGGAGGUAUAGUGGUUCGAUGAUUCUUCACCUACAUCCACUUUAGAAACAAUCUUCAAGACUGUUAUUCAUCCUUCAAGAUUUACAAUUUCAGAUUCUACAGAAUAUGAGAGCUGGAGCUGAGCUUGGAGACAGGAGCUGGAGCUUUUUCAUUCACCUCAACACAUUUGCCUCUUGAAGCAAAAAACUCCUUGAAGAUCUUUGUCGUGAGGUAGCGGUCAUAUUCCUCAAGGUUGAUCCUGCUGCUGCUUGUCACUGAAAGACUCGGCUUAUUAAGAAGACUUAGGUUGAUGAUCUGUUUAUGUACACAUGUUUUGAGAGGGACUAGGGCUUUGUUAGAGUUGUUUGGGACCAUCUGUGGAUAUUUUUCCCUUAGACGUUAUGUCAUGGCUGUAUGCUUAUGUUUAUAUAAUAUUUUAUAGAAUCUUAAGGUAGCAUACAUUAUUAAUGUUUAAUAGGUUGGCAUUUAGAUUAGAAGGCUAAGGUGGUGAGUGCUGGCAGCAAGGCUAGUAACUACUGCGGUCAUAUCCUCUUUCAGAUUAAGAGGGUAAUCUGGGAGGGGGUGUGACAUUAUAUGUGUCAAACCAUCUAUAUUUGAACAUAAAAACAUGUCUUCUGUUCGCCUAUUGAAAAUCCAAUACUUCGUCUAAGACAUCGUUAAAAUUA